UCUCAAGCUACUACGGGCACACGGCGGAUGCCUUGGCGCCAAGGGCUGAUGAAGGACGCUGCCGGCGGCGAAAGGGUCGGGGAGGUGCCAAGCAACCUUCGAUCCGGCCGUCUCCGAAUGGGGCAACCCGGCGCGGGUCAUGCCGCGUCAUCCCGUGCUGAAUCCAUAGGCACGGGAGAGCCAGUCGGGGAACUGAAACAUCUCAGUACCCGGAGGAACAGAAAUCAACCGAGAUUCCCUGAGUAGUGGCGAGCGAAAGGGGAGGAGCCCAAACCUCGGGCGUGCCAAGCUCGCGGGCGUUGCGCUCGAGGGGUUGCAGGACAUCGUCGGACGGGACCGCGAUCCCGUCGGGAAGUGACCAAUCCGCACGCUAGCCGAACGGUCCUGGAACGGCCGGCCACAGCGGGUGACAGCCCCGUAGGCGAAAGCGUGUGGACUUCCUGGGCGGUGUUCCUGAGUACCACGGGACACGUGGAACCCCGUGGGAAGCCGGGAGGACCACCUUCCAAGGCUAAAUACCCUUGGCGACCGAUAGUGCACGAGUACCGUGAGGGAAAGGUGAAAAGAACCCCGGGAGGGGAGUGAAAUAGAACCUGAAACCGUGUGCCUACAAACAGUCGGAGGGCUAUGCCGGUCUUCGGACCGGAACGCCUGACGGCAUGCCUAUUGAAGAAUGAGCCGGUGAGUUGCAACGUGUGGCGAGCUUAAGGGAGCGUAUCCCGGAGGCGGAGGGAAACCGAGUCUGAACAGGGCGCCGUUCCCGGAUGGGAAGCCGCACGCGCGGCAGUCGCACGUUGCAGACCCGAAACCGGGUGAGCUACCCAUGGCCAGGGUGAAACGCGGCUAACCCCGCGUGGAGGCCCGAACCCGUUGGUGUUGAAAAACCAUGGGAUGAGCUGUGGGUAGGGGUGAUAUGCCAAUCGAACCCGGAGAUAGCUGGUUCUCCCCGAAAUGCAUUGAGGUGCAGCCCCGAGCGCAGCACGGCGGUGGUAGAGCACUGGAUGGGCUAGGGCGGGAGGACCCGUGCCGAACCCAACCAAACUCCGAAUGCCGUCGUGUGGUCGUCGGGAGUGAGACGGUGGGGGAUAAGCUUCAUCGUCAAGAGGGGAACAACCCAGACCGCCAGCUAAGGUCCCCAAGUGAUGGCUAAGUGGGAAAGGAAGUGGCAUCGCUAAGACAGCCAGGAGGUUGGCUUAGAAGCAGCCAUCCUUUAAAGAGUGCGUAAUAGCUCACUGGUCGAGUGGUGCUGCGCCGAAAAUCCAACGGGGCUCAAGCCAUCCACCGAAGCUGCGGAUCCCGCGCGUGGUGUCGUCCUGCGCGGGGUGGUAGGGGAGCGUUCCGCAGUAGGCUGAAGGCGGACCGUGAGGACCGCUGGACGAUGCGGAAGUGCGAAUGCCGGCAUGAGUAGCGAAAAGGCAGGUGAGAAUCCUGCCCGCCGUAAGGCCAAGGGUUCUUACGGAAGGUUCGUCCGCGUAAGGUUAGGCGGGCCCUAAGGCGAGGCCGAAAGGCGUAGCCGAUGGACAGCCGGUCGACAUUCCGGCCCCGCGGCGCAUCCGUGACGAGCCAAGGGGGGACGCAGAAGGGUAGGCCUACCGGGUGAUGGUCGUCCCGGGCUAAGCAGGUAGGCGGAGGCGCCAGGCAAAUCCGGUGCCUCGUACAACGCCGAGAUGCGAACGCGAGCUCAAGGGCAACCGCGAGCGAAGUGGCUGAGCCCACGCUGCCAAGAAAAGCCUCGUGGCCAGGAUGCCCGCGCCCGUACCGGAAACCGACACAGGUGGCCGGGCACGUAGAGUGCCAAGGCGCGCGAGAGAACCCUCGUCAAGGAACUCGGCAAGUUGACCCCGUAACCUCGGGAGAAGGGGUGCCUUCGAGCGUUGCCGGCCUGCGCCGGCUGCGCGAGGAGGCCGCAGUGAAUCGGCUCAGCCGACUGUUUAACAAAAACACAGGUCUCUGCGAAGCCGCAAGGCGACGUAUAGGGGCUGACGCCUGCCCAGUGCCGGAAGGUUAAGGGGACGGGUUAGCUGGGGUUCGCCCCGGCGACGCCCUGAACCGAAGCCCCGGUGAACGGCGGCCGUAACUAUAACGGUCCUAAGGUAGCGAAAUUCCUUGUCGGGUAAGUUCCGACCUGCACGAAUGGCGUAACGAGCUGAGCGCUGUCUCGACGAGGGACUCGGCGAAGUUGUGAGACCCGUGAAGACACGGGUUACCCGCAGCUGGACGGAAAGACCCCGUGGAGCUUUACUGCAGCUUGCCAUUGGAUUUGGUCUUACCAUGUAGAGGAUAGGUGGGAGGCAGAGAAGCGGGGGCGCCAGCUCCCGUGGAGCCGCCCUUGGAAUACCACCCUUGGCAAGAUUAAGUCCUAACCGGCAUCCUCAGCGGGUGUCGAGACAGUGGCAGGUGGGCAGUUUGACUGGGGCGGUCGCCUCCUAAACGGUAACGGAGGCGCCCAAAGGUCCCCUCAGCACGGUUGGAAACCGUGCGGCGAGUGCAAGGGCAUAAGGGGGCUUGACUGUGAGGCCUACAAGCCGAGCAGGGGCGAAAGCCGGGCCUAGUGAUCCUACGGCGGCAAGUGGAAGCGCCGUGGCUUAACGGAUAAAAGCUACCCCGGGGAUAACAGGCUGAUCUCCCCCAAGAGUCCACAUCGACGGGGAGGUUUGGCACCUCGAUGUCGGCUCAUCGCAUCCUGGGGCUGUAGUAGGUCCCAAGGGUUGGGCUGUUCGCCCAUUAAAGCGGUACGUGAGCUGGGUUCAGAACGUAGGACACACUGCGUCCCCUGGGAGCGAUCCCAGGGUGCUCUCCGGCUGAUAUCGGUGGAACCCUCGCGUGGCCUCCGAACACCACGCAGGGCAAUACCGAGGGAAGAGUCGGGAGCCAGAUGAAGGACGCGUUGAUCGGGAUCGUCCUUGGUGAUGGCCAUUUGGAGGUGCACGGGCGCGGUGUGCGUCUCCAGGUAAACCACUCGGUACGCCUGCGAGCGUAUGUGGAGUGGAAACACCGGGAGCUGAGAGCACUUCGGCCGUCGCCAGUGCAUGGUCACGACAACGCGGGCUACCCGUUCUGGCGGUUUGUGACGCGGUGCCAUCCAUACCUAGCGGAGUUGCGGCGGUUGUUCUAUCGACAUGGCCGCAAGAUCGUUCCGGCGACUAUCGGGGAGCUGUUGGUCCACCCCAAGGCGCUGGCCGUCUGGUUCAUGGACGAUGGCACGUGCGAUCGGCGGCAGGGCUCCAUGCUGUUCGAGACACAAUGCUUCGGCGCGGCUGAUCUCGUGCGACUGGUGGCAACGCUAGCGCAGAAUUUCGACCUGCGCGUGCGCAUUCACCGCAGCGGGAUCGGACGCGGGCUGCGCCUGUACGUGCCCGUGGCUGAGGCGACAAAGCUCGUCCGACUCAUUGAGCCCUACGUGCUGCCGGAACUGCGGUACAAGCUCCCGAUUCCCCGUAACGACUGAAGGCUACAAGGCCUGAGAUGGGUGUCGUGCCGUGUGGCGAAACUGUGACACUCAUCAGACGCCGGCUCCUUCGAUCCUUCCGAAGGAUGGAGCUAUAGUCUGUGCCUCUGGAAACAGAGGGUGAACACGCGUGAGACAGUUCGGUCCCUAUCCACUGUGGGCGCAGGUGACUUGAGGGGAGCUGCUCCUAGUACGAGAGGACCGGAGUGGACGGACCUCUGGUGUACCGGUUGUCCUGCCAAGGGCACGUGCCGGGUAGCCAUGUCCGGACGGGAUAAGCGCUGAAAGCAUCUAAGCGCGAAGCCCACCCCAAGAUGAGGUCACCCACCGGGUUAACCGGGUAAGUCCCCUGGGAGACUACCAGGUCGAUAGGCCGCAGGUGUAAAGCCGUAAGGCGUAGCCUAGCGGUACUAAUAGGACGAGGGCUUGUCCUG
rnacentral:rRNA from 1 species